GGGUUGUGAGGUUAAGCGACUAAGCGUACACGGUGGAUGCCCUGGCAGUCAGAGGCGAUGAAGGACGUGCUAAUCUGCGAUAAGCGUCGGUAAGGUGAUAUGAACCGUUAUAACCGGCGAUUUCCGAAUGGGGAAACCCAGUGUGUUUCGACACACUAUCAUUAACUGAAUCCAUAGGUUAAUGAGGCGAACCGGGGGAACUGAAACAUCUAAGUACCCCGAGGAAAAGAAAUCAACCGAGAUUCCCCCAGUAGCGGCGAGCGAACGGGGAGCAGCCCAGAGCCUGAAUCAGUGUGUGUGUUAGUGGAAGCGUCUGGAAAGGCGCGCGAUACAGGGUGACAGCCCCGUACACAAAAAUGCACAUGCUGUGAGCUCGAUGAGUAGGGCGGGACACGUGGUAUCCUGUCUGAAUAUGGGGGGACCAUCCUCCAAGGCUAAAUACUCCUGACUGACCGAUAGUGAACCAGUACCGUGAGGGAAAGGCGAAAAGAACCCCGGCGAGGGGAGUGAAAAAGAACCUGAAACCGUGUACGUACAAGCAGUGGGAGCACGCUUAGGCGUGUGACUGCGUACCUUUUGUAUAAUGGGUCAGCGACUUAUAUUCUGUAGCAAGGUUAACCGAAUAGGGGAGCCGAAGGGAAACCGAGUCUUAACUGGGCGUUAAGUUGCAGGGUAUAGACCCGAAACCCGGUGAUCUAGCCAUGGGCAGGUUGAAGGUUGGGUAACACUAACUGGAGGACCGAACCGACUAAUGUUGAAAAAUUAGCGGAUGACUUGUGGCUGGGGGUGAAAGGCCAAUCAAACCGGGAGAUAGCUGGUUCUCCCCGAAAGCUAUUUAGGUAGCGCCUCGUGAAUUCAUCUCCGGGGUAGAGCACUGUUUCGGCAAGGGGUCAUCCCGACUUACCAACCCGAUGCAAACUGCGAAUACCGGAGAAUGUUAUCACGGGAGACACACGGCGGGUGCUAACGUCCGUCGUGAAGAGGGAAACAACCCAGACCGCCAGCUAAGGUCCCAAAGUCAUGGUUAAGUGGGAAACGAUGUGGGAAGGCCCAGACAGCCAGGAUGUUGGCUUAGAAGCAGCCAUCAUUUAAAGAAAGCGUAAUAGCUCACUGGUCGAGUCGGCCUGCGCGGAAGAUGUAACGGGGCUAAACCAUGCACCGAAGCUGCGGCAGCGACGCUUAUGCGUUGUUGGGUAGGGGAGCGUUCUGUAAGCCUGCGAAGGUGUGCUGUGAGGCAUGCUGGAGGUAUCAGAAGUGCGAAUGCUGACAUAAGUAACGAUAAAGCGGGUGAAAAGCCCGCUCGCCGGAAGACCAAGGGUUCCUGUCCAACGUUAAUCGGGCAGGGUGAGUCGACCCCUAAGGCGAGGCCGAAAGGCGUAGUCGAUGGGAAACAGGUUAAUAUUCCUGUACUUGGUGUUACUGCGAAGGGGGACGGAGAAGGCUAUGUUGGCCGGGCGACGGUUGUCCCGGUUUAAGCGUGUAGGCUGGUUUUCCAGGCAAAUCCGGAAAAUCAAGGCUGAGGCGUGAUGACGAGGCACUACGGUGCUGAAGCAACAAAUGCCCUGCUUCCAGGAAAAGCCUCUAAGCAUCAGGUAACAUCAAAUCGUACCCCAAACCGACACAGGUGGUCAGGUAGAGAAUACCAAGGCGCUUGAGAGAACUCGGGUGAAGGAACUAGGCAAAAUGGUGCCGUAACUUCGGGAGAAGGCACGCUGAUAUGUAGGUGAAGCGACUUGCUCGUGGAGCUGAAAUCAGUCGAAGAUACCAGCUGGCUGCAACUGUUUAUUAAAAACACAGCACUGUGCAAACACGAAAGUGGACGUAUACGGUGUGACGCCUGCCCGGUGCCGGAAGGUUAAUUGAUGGGGUUAGCGCAAGCGAAGCUCUUGAUCGAAGCCCCGGUAAACGGCGGCCGUAACUAUAACGGUCCUAAGGUAGCGAAAUUCCUUGUCGGGUAAGUUCCGACCUGCACGAAUGGCGUAAUGAUGGCCAGGCUGUCUCCACCCGAGACUCAGUGAAAUUGAACUCGCUGUGAAGAUGCAGUGUACCCGCGGCAAGACGGAAAGACCCCGUGAACCUUUACUAUAGCUUGACACUGAACAUUGAGCCUUGAUGUGUAGGAUAGGUGGAGGCUUUGAAGUGUGGACGCCAGUCUGCAUGGAGCCGACCUUGAAAUACCACCCUUUAAUGUUUGAUGUUCUAACGUUGACCCGUAAUCCGGGUUGCGGACAGUGUCUGGUGGGUAGUUUGACUGGGGCGGUCUCCUCCUAAAGAGUAACGGAGGAGCACGAAGGUUGGCUAAUCCUGGUCGGACAUCAGGAGGUUAGUGCAAUGGCAUAAGCCAGCUUGACUGCGAGCGUGACGGCGCGAGCAGGUGCGAAAGCAGGUCAUAGUGAUCCGGUGGUUCUGAAUGGAAGGGCCAUCGCUCAACGGAUAAAAGGUACUCCGGGGAUAACAGGCUGAUACCGCCCAAGAGUUCAUAUCGACGGCGGUGUUUGGCACCUCGAUGUCGGCUCAUCACAUCCUGGGCUGAAGUAGGUCCCAAGGGUAUGGCUGUUCGCCAUUUAAAGUGGUACGCGAGCUGGGUUUAGAACGUCGUGAGACAGUUCGGUCCCUAUCUGCCGUGGGCGCUGGAGAACUGAGGGGGCUGCUCCUAGUACGAGAGGACCGGAGUGGACGCAUCACUGGUGUUCGGGUUGUCAUGCCAAUGGCACUGCCCGGUAGCUAAAUGCGGAAGAGAUAAGUGCUGAAAGCAUCUAAGCACGAAACUUGCCCCGAGAUGAGUUCUCCCUGACCCUUUAAGGGUCCUGAAGGAACGUUGAAGACGACGACGUUGAUAGGCCGGGUGUGUAAGCGCAGCGAUGCGUUGAGCUAACCGGUACUAAUGAACCGUGAGGCUUAACCUUACAACGCCGAAGGUGUUU
rnacentral:rRNA from 1 species